CUAAAACUAUGCAAAGCAAACGCUCCUAUUGAAUUUGUUUGCUCAACUGUUUGUUAUUGAAGUACAAGUUACUUUAGUUGUUACCGAAUUAAAGAAUAAUCAUGUAAUAAUGCCAUAUAUAAAUAUAAUAUUAAUUUGUUGUGAAAAACACUACUUAUAAUAAAUAAAUAGAUUCGUUCUUUUUCUUUUUUCAGUAAAAAAAAUAAUUGUGCGAGUACUAUUUAUUUUGCAAGAAAAAAUGUGUUGCUCUUUAAUAGCUUUAAAAUUGUGUAAAUUGUAAUUUUUGGCUCUUUCGACUCAAAGGUUGCCGACUCCUGCUCUAGACCGCAAAUAUAAUUCCUUAUAUAUCAUCGCUACA